AGUUUGAUCCUGGCUCAGGAUGAACGCUGGCGGUCUGCUUAACACAUGCAAGUCGAACGGAGUGCUUCGGCACUUAGUGGCGGACGGGUGAGUAACGCGUGAGAAUCUGCCCUUAGGACGGGGACAACAGCUGGAAACGGCUGCUAAUACCCGAUGUGCCGAGAGGUGAAACAUUUUGUGGCCUGAGGAUGAGCUCGCGUCUGAUUAGCUAGUUGGUGGGGUAAGAGCCUACCAAGGCGACGAUCAGUAGCUGGUCUGAGAGGAUGAUCAGCCACACUGGGACUGAGACACGGCCCAGACUCCUACGGGAGGCAGCAGUGGGGAAUUUUCCGCAAUGGGCGCAAGCCUGACGGAGCAAGACCGCGUGCGGGAGGACGGCCUAUUGGUUGUAAACCGCUUUUGAUAGGGAAGAAGCACUGACGGUACCUAUCGAAUCAGCAUCGGCUAACUCCGUGCCAGCAGCCGCGGUAAUACGGAGGAUGCAAGCGUUAUCCGGAAUUAUUGGGCGUAAAGCGUCCGUAGGUGGUUGUUCGAGUCUGCUGUUAAAGCGUGCGGCUUAACCGCAUACCAGCAGUGGAAACUGGGCGACUAGAGUGCGGUAGGGGUCAGGGGAAUUCCCAGUGUAGCGGUGAAAUGCGUAGAUAUUGGGAAGAACACCGGUGGCGAAGGCGCCUGACUGGACCUGCACUGACACUGAGGGACGAAAGCUAGGGGAGCGAAAGGGAUUAGAUACCCCUGUAGUCCUAGCCGUAAACGAUGGACACUAGGUGUUGCCCGUAUCGACCCGGGCAGUGCCGUAGCCCACGCGUUAAGUGUCCCGCCUGGGGAGUACGCUCGCAGAGUGAAACUCAA
rnacentral:rRNA from 1 species